CUUGCUCAGAGUAGGAGUCUGCGCAGACAUCAGCUAAGAUUCCAGAAUGACUACCAUCUUGACUUACACUUUUCAAAAUCUUCUCACUGCAUCAAAAUGGGCCCUCAGAUUUUCCAUAAGACCUUGGAGCUGUUCCUCCUAGCUGCAAGCUGCCCCCGAGAUCCAGACCAAAAUGAAGAAGACAUUAGCCAAACCCAAUAUGAGGAAUGUUGUGGUCGUGGAUGGCGUUCGUACUCCAUUGUUGCUGUCAGCACUUCAUAUAAAGACCUAAUGCCAUAUGAUUUGGCUAGAGCAACACUUACGGGUUUGUUGUAUCAGCCCAGUGUCCCCAAGGAAGUAGUUGAUUAUAUCAUCUUUGGCACAGUUAUUCAGGAAGUAAAAACAAGCAAUGUGGCUAGAGAGGCUGCCCUUGGAGCUGCCUUCUCUGACAAGACUCCUGCUCACACUGUCACCAUGGCUUGUAUCUCUGCCAACCAAGCCAUGACCACAGGUGUUGGUUUGAUUGCUUCUGGCCACUGUGAUGUGUCCAUGACAGGUGGUGUCGAGUUGAUGUCCCAUGUCCCUAUUCGUCACUCAAGGAAAAUGAGAAAACUAAUGCUUGAUCUCAAUAAGGCCAAAUCUGUGGGCCAGUGACUGUCUUUAAUCUCUAAAUUCCAAUUGAAUUUCCUAGCACCUGAGCUCCCUACGGUUGCUGAGUUCUCCAUCAGUGAGACCACGGGCCACUCUGCAGACCGACUGGCGGCUGCCUUUGCUGUUUCUCGACUGGAACAGGAUGAAUAUGCGCUGAGCUCUCACAGUCUGGCCAAGAAGGCAUAGGAUGAAGGACUCCUUUCUGAUGUCGUAAUCUUCAAAGUACCAGGAAAAAAUACAGUUACCACAGAUAAUGGCAUCUGUCCUUCCUCACUGGAGCAGAUGGCCAAACUAAAACCUGCAUUUAUCAAGCCCUGCAGCACAGUGACAGCUGCAGAUUCUUCUUUGUUGACUGAUGGCGCAUCUGCGAUGUUGAUUGUGGCAGAGGAAAAGGCUCUGGCCAUGGGUUAUAAGUCGAAGGCGUAUUUGAGGGAUUUUAUGUACGUGUCUCAUGAUCCAAAAGAUCAACUAUUACUCGGACCAAAAUAUGCGACUCCAAAAGUUCUAGAAAAGGCAGAAUUAACCAUGAAUGAUAUUGAUGCUUUUGAAUUUCACAAAGCUUUCUCAGGUAAGAUUUUAGCAAAUUUUGAAGUCAUGGAUUCUGAUUGGUUUGCACAAAAUUACAUGGGUAGAAAAACCAAAGUUAGAUUGCUUCCUUUGGAGAAGUCUAAUAACUGGGAUGAAUCUCUGUUCCUGAGACACCCAUUUGGAGCCACUGGCUGCAGGUUGGUCAUGGCAGCUGCCAACAGAUUACAGAAGGAAGGAGACCAGUAUGCCUUAGCGGCUGCCUGUGCAGCUGGAGGGCAGGGCCAUUCUAUGACAGUGGAAGCUUAUCCAAAAUAAUAGAUCCAGAAGAAAUGACCAGAAGUUUCUGUGCAACACUCACACUAGGCAAUGGCAUUUCAAUGCAUUCCUAAAUGACAUUUAUAGUUCCUAGCUCGUCUUAGGAAAACAAUUCUUGUGGCCUUCUGUUACAUGCUUUGCACUUAAGCCUUGCCAGUGUUCUGAGCUUUUCAAUAAUCACGAUUUACUGCUCUUUCAGGGAUUUCUAAGCCACCAGAAU